UGAGCUUUCCCCUCCCUCUGAGGAACAAUUUGGCAGCACACAUUUUGUGGUCCCUUAGGCCCCAGUAGGAUGGUGCCCCAGGUGCCUAUAGCAGGCUUCCGCUCAUAGGGCGCCCUUUCUUGCUUUACUCAAUCUUGUUUCACUCCCAGACUCCUUCAUUUGUUCCCGGCCCAUGUGUUCUAUGUACGGAUGAGAAAGUGGUAGUAAUCAUUUUAGCUCCCCUCAGCAUCACUCACUCCCAAGGAUCCACCUGAGGAAGUUGUGCUUCAGGCUCAGAGAUUAUACCUUGUCUUCGUUGAAGGAUUGGAGGGAGCUUUCAGAAAAUAGUUAAUAAAUCUUGUCAGGCUAUUUUUUGGUCAUUUGGGGCUCAAGCCUCUGGCCCAGCAGGGAAGGUAAGGGUUUGCUUUACUGGCAAGAGGCAGUGGUUCUCAACUUCAUGAGUUUAGGUAGCUGCUACUAACUGGCGAUGGGGAUUAGUAUGUCUACAACUGAAGGGAAUCACAGCAGAGUGUCUUGGUGCUCAGUGAGGAUGGGAGAAUGGCAGCAAUUAUGGCCUAACAAAGUCAAGGUAACCAGGGACUCAGAUCUCGGAGGGAUGAAGGUGUGAGUUAUUCCACUGGGCUAGAAAUCUAGUGCAGCAGGACUGCAGGCCAAGGAUAAGGGGAAUCUAUAAUGAGUGAGAAAAAUAAUGACUGUCACUUACAUCCCCGAGCCCAACAGCAGAAACACAGAAUAUAACUUGCAACCAACCCUGUCAUUUUAGGGAUUGUGGGCAGCAACCACCUUGACACACCAGUGACAGAGUGUACUCCAAGGCAAGGUAGGGCAUGGACGAUCAGCUUUCUUGAUACUUUAGCCCCUGUCUCCUUGACUCUGCGCUCACCUGUGGCUGCACUGCAGUUCCACACUUGCCUUCAGCUUCCUGCCUCAGGCACCCACAUCUGGUUCUCUACCCAAGAGUUUUCUCCAGCACCACGGGAGCUUUCUCAGCCUGCUCACUGGAUAGCCUGCUUGCAGAGACAACCAACCAGUGAACAACAGGAAAACAGUAGCUGGUGAGAAGUACUUGAGCUUUCCCCUCCCUCUGAGGAACAAUUUGGCAGCAUGCAUUUCGUGGUCCCUCAGGCCCCAGUGGGAUGGUGCCCCAGGUGCCUAUAGCAGGCUUCCUCUCAUAGGGCGCCCUUUCUUGCUUUACUCAAUCUUGUCUCACUCCCAGACUCCUUCAUUUGUUCCCGGUGACCAUCUCCCAAAUAAACCACUUUAACUCGUCUCAGAAUCUACUUUUAGAGAAACCUAGAUUAAGGUAUUCAUUCAAAACUGCAAUAUAGAAGUCCUGUAAUUGUCCGUAAGUUACUAUAUGAUCGCUAAUGGUUGCCUUCACGAUUUCUUGGCAACAGGUGCUGAAGUUUAUUGGAAGCUACACACUGAAGGGUUCACAGUGGGAGAUGAAGCACUGACUAUGGAAUCAGAGGAUUUUUUUUAUUUCUAAUCGUGACAGUUGCCUUGAAAAAGUCACUGUUGUAAUAAUUCCAUGAAGAAAUUAUCUGCAAGAACUUUAAAAACUUAAUUCCAACACUUAAGGAAUUAAACAGUAAAUA
ensembl:lncRNA